AGCAGCCGCGGUAAUUCCAGCUCCAAUAGCGUAUAUUAAAGUUGUUGUGGUUAAAAAGCUCGUAGUUGAACCUUGGGCCUGGCUGGCCGGUCCGCCUCACCGCGUGCACUGGUCCGGCCGGGCCUUUCCCUCUGCGGAACCCCAUGCCCUUCACUGGGUGUGGCGGGGAAACAGGACUUUUACUUUGAAAAAUUAGAGUGCUCAAGGCAGGCCUAUGCUCGAAUACAUUAGCAUGGAAUAAUAGAAUAGGACGUGUGGUUCUAUUUUGUUGGUUCCUAGGACCGCCGUAAUGAUUAAUAGGGGCAGUCGGGGGCAUCAGUAUUCAAUUGUCAGAGGUGAAAUUCUUGGAUUUAUUGAAGACUAACUACUGCGAAAGCAUUUGCCAAGGAUGUUUUCAUUAAUCAGGGACGAAAGUUAGGG
rnacentral:rRNA from 1 species